GGACUACUGGGGUAUCUAAUCCGUUUUGCUCCCCACGCUUUCGUGCCUCAAUGUCAGUAACAGAAUAGUUAACUGCCUUCGCCGUUAUUGGUGUUCUUCUAUAUAUCUACACAUUUUACCGCUCCACAUAGAGUUCCGUUAACCUCUCCUGCACUCGAGCCUAGCAGUAUUACCAGUUUCCACGAGGUUAGGCCUCGAUUUGCCACUGCCAACUUGCCAGGCCAUCUACGCACCCUUUACGCCCAAUAAUUCCGGAUAACGUUCGCCACCUACGUCUUACCGCGGCUGCUGGCAC
rnacentral:rRNA from 1 species